GUCCAAUAUGUUUGACCGAUCUGGCCGCUGCUACCACGCUUACUGCACCGACUGCAUCCGCCGUUGGAGUCACGUGCGCAGAGCGUGCCCUCUCUUCCAGAACCUUCCCGCAAGCACUUCGAUGGCGUGCUAGGUAUGCUAACAACAAUUCAAUUCAAUUCAAUUCAAUUGACUGAUAUGAUUUGGGAAUUGUGGUUUUGUAGCAUAUACAAUCAAAGGCUGAAACCAGAUUAUGCAUCGCUAAGAAUGGAACAAGAAGAGAUGAAAAGGGAAAUUCUACAAUUGAUUGAAUCAUGGAUAAUGAGGGAGCUACAAGAGAAGGCGAUCUUCAUGUUGGACCUCUUAGUCCAUUCCUACAUGAUAAAGCCACCAUCUUUUCGCAUGAGCUAAGCUACUUGACUCUCUUGAUUCUGACCAAUUUUCAAUUGGUAAGAGGGUUGUCACAACAUGGAUACCUACGAUGAACAAUUACUGUUGGUGAUGAUGCCUUCCCACAACUAUGAAUUAUGAUAACAAAUCUCUUGGUGAUGAUGCUUAUUCAUGUUCCUUGUUGGUGUUGGUGCAUGUUGCAAACUUUCAGUAGCAUCCGAACUAGUGUACAACAUUUGUAUGAUAAUAAUAAUACUGUCAAACAUUUAAAAAGAACAUGUGUUGCUGAUUCACGUCCAAUUCAAUCCGUUUCCUACGAUGUCAAAUGUAAUUAGUUCAAGGUGCGUUGGUGUAAAAAGACCAGCCUUGUAAAUAAUAUUUAUGCACAUUGACUGUAUCAUCUCUAUUAAAUGGUAAUUUGUGUAGCCAAGCUGAUAAAUCUUUGUGCAUGGACAUGAUAAAUCUAGCAUCUGCAAUUGAACAUGGUUCUGGUAGGAAAUCUUUGUCAGAGUCCCUGGUUCAAGAUUCUAAUUUCCCACCUACCAAUCUCUCUUCCCUUCCCAAGCAAUUCGAGCUCGACAAAGAAUACAAUACAGAUGUCAAGAUUGACAAGAACUCUGGUCAAGGUUCUUUCCCUCAGGCAGCAGAUCAGAGAAGAAAUAAAGUUGAUUAUGGUAAUCAUGGAGCGAAGAUGAAUGUGGAGGAAAAACAGUUAUUGCUAUCUGAAAUUUUAAAUCAGCAAAACCAAGGAUUUGAAAACAUCAGACUAGAAAGCGAUGAUGCUUCAUUUCUUGAAAGCAAUAAAUUCGGAUCUGUGUCUACUUCAAGUUUGUACCAUUACUAUGAAAGUAAAAUGGCGGCUCUGAUAAGGAAAAAUGGAAUUCUAGAGGGACAACUGGCGGCUUCCCUCGCAAACAAAGAAGCCGCAGAGAAAUGCUUAGCAUCUGCUAUUAAAAGCCGGAACGAAAUGGAGACAAAACUAGGCGAGGCACUGAAGGAGAUGGAAUCACCGAGAGAAAAGCUGGGGGGUUUAGAGUUAGCACAAGAAGAGGCUAACAACCUAUCAAGCAUGCAUGGUCCAUUCGGAUAAUGUACGGCUCGAGCUCGAUGUGGCCUUCCUCAAGGCUGUUUUAGAUGAUACACAAAAGGAGCUGCACUCAACCAGAGGUGUGAUUGCUGGAGAGAGAGCCAGGGCAUUCCAACUACAGUAUGAAGUAUUUCAUCUCAAACAGAGAUUGCAAUCAGUGGAGAAUCGAGAACCUACUCCAAGGAAACCUUUUCAUCUAC